ACACCACCACCACGGCCUCGACCCUUCUCGUCCUAUCCCCAUGACGGCCUCGCCCCGCCGGCCCUUAUCCCCACGACGGCCUCACCCCGCCGGCUCCUGUCACCACUGCGGCUUUGCCUCGCCGCCAACUCCGUCAAUCUUCCCUAGACCGACUCUGCUGCCGCCAUCCUACUGCCACAGAGCGGAUCGAGAUGCGAGCUGCUGGACACGAUGCGGGAGGAGGCAUCUCAAAUUGGACGGAGAUCCAGUGCGUUGACGUGCCCGCCGUAAUCAUCGUCCCCCGUGCUUGGCUCACACAGUCGCUCCGGGAGGGAGUUCGCAGCUCACGUACGUGCUCGGUUGCUGAAGGCGCCUUCGCCACAUUGUCAUUCAUUUGUGAGAUGUUUCUCUUUCUCUAUGUUGGCAUGGAUGAUAUAUAGAGUACUGGAAGAUUGUUAGUGAAACACAUUCAGCCCAAUGAAGUGUAUCGCCUUUGAGCUCCAUUAUUUAGGCCAGAUCUCAUGAGAGAUGCUGUGUCAAUUGCAUUGGCAUCCAAUAAGGAUUGAAGUGGUGGCCGUAACACAGUUAGUUGGGAGGACCCACUGGCAGAGUCGAUGUUGGUAGAGUCGAUAUUAUUGACAUUUUCCUUGUUAGAAACAGCAGUAUAUGGUGUUCCUAAUGAAUUCAGACCAGGAAAUGAAGUCCAAUCACUCAU